UCUCCCCGAUGGACAGGGCUGCGUCCGGAGCUCAGGGACAAAGCCCUCUUGGCAGGGGCUGCAGCUGGGCCCGUGAAACAGCCCUUUCAGCUCCGGCUCUGAAUGGCGGUUCUGUGGCCUCGUUGGAGGAACACAGGCGCCUUUUCUGUGUCACUUCCCCCUCACCAGCGGAGCUCCAGAAAUAUGCCACAGCUCGCAUUCCACCAGGGGCUUGCAUGCAGACAGGGAGGAAACUCGUGAAAUGAAAAACCCCCGGAACCAGACAGAGCGGAGUUUGAGUCCCUCUUCUGUCACCUGCCAGCUGACUUCAGGUGAAUCCUUCACUUGGCUGCUGUCCUGUCCCGUGUCUGUAAAGUCGGGAUCUCAACGCCAAUAUCACAGGAUGGAGGAGGAUGAGGUGUAUUGAAUGCUGCAUCCGUGUUUAUUGUUUCUCCAGCACCUUCUUGUAUCGGUCAGGACAGGAUAGGUGAGUUGCAGUAACAAACAAGCCCUCAGAUCACAAUGGCUUAACACGGGGAUUGUUUCUCUCUGGUGAUGCAGACCCGGGCUAGACAGGUGCCUCCCUGCACAGGCCCUCCCCAAGGCUGCCUGCACGCUGCUGUCCUGCCAUUUCCAAGUCCUGGGUCAGCCACACAGUCAAGAGAGAGACAGCAUGUGUCUCUCCGAACAGCCUCAGACGAGGAGCACACGGCCGACUCUGCCUAGCAGCCCAGGGGGAGGAGCUGCACACUGACAGUGAGGAGGGCAGCAGGGGAUCAAGCAGCAGUGAGCCCCACAGAGCCAGCCUCCGAACUGAGCCUCUGGAGAGCUGAGAAGAGCAGAUGAAGAUGUGUCAACAGUGGUCAGCUCACCCGUUUCAUCCUUCAGCUUCAAAACUCUGGAGCCACACAGACCAGGUCUGCAGAUUUUCAGGAUUCUUGCUGCUGCUGCCGCUUAAAAGCUUAGGAGAGAAAAAUAAAAUUCCGCCAAAUUGGGAAGGAGUGGUGUAUUUGUUUCUGAUUGCUGUGUAACAAAUGACCACAAAUUUAGUGACCUAAAACAGCAUAGACGUCUGACCUCAGUUUCUGUCGAUCAGAAGUCUGAGCACAACUAAGCUGGGCUCUCUGCUCAGGGCCUCACAAGGCUGCAACCACCACGUCAGCCGGGCUGCAUCCCUUUCUGGAGCCUGGAUCCUCUUUCAGGCUCACGUGAUGGUUGGCAGAAUUCAGUGCCCAGAGGUUGUCACACUGAGGCUCCCCCUUGCCCCAGUCCUUUUGAUUGACCAGGGGCCACCCUCAGCUCCUAGACGCCACCACAGUUCCUUGUCAUCUGGCCCCCUCCAAGGCCCUCUCAGGCUUCAAAUCGCUGCCAUACUGAGUCCCUCUCUUCAGGAAGAGCCCAGCCCCUGUAAGGGGUCACCUGAUCAGGUCAGGCUCACCCAUGAUGAUUUCCCUUGCUUAAAGCCAACGGUACCCUGUGACAUAACCUAAUCACAGGAAGGACUGUCCCAUCAGAUUCACAGGCUCUGCCCAUAUUCAAGGGGAGAGACUGAUCAGGGUCACGGGUCA